AAUGUGGCUGAGGUAGCUGUCGUCCCAUUGAUCGCCAGGGUUGAUUCGGCUGAUCUGGCUGGCUAGGCAGGUGUCCCCUUCUUGUGCGUCCCUCCCGAAGCUGCGCGCUAUGUGGAAGAGGAUAGCCCUCUCUGAUAGAGGAGGGCUGUUCUUUGCUCGAGGGCUGGUCAAAGGUAUAUGAGUAGCUUCACUCCCCUGCUGGAAACUCCAAACAAAUAUCUCAUCAAGUUCUUACUUUCAGUCCUUUCAAUACAUACCAAGAAGUGGAAUUUCUGGAUCAUUUGGUAAUUCCAUUCU
rnacentral:snRNA from 1 species